GGUUUUAUGGUGUAGUUGGUUAUCACGUCAGUCUAACACACUGAAGGUCUACAGUUCGGGCCUCGAUAAAACCG
rnacentral:tRNA from 1 species